rnacentral:rRNA from 1 species
UACAUAGGGAGCAAGCGUUAUCCGGAUUUAUUGGGUGUAAAGGGUGCGUAGACGGGAAAUUAAGUUAGUUGUGAAAUCCCUCGGCUCAACUGAGGAACUGCAACUAAAACUGAUUUUCUUGAGUGCUGGAGAGGAAAGUGGAAUUCCUAGUGUAGCGGUGAAAUGCGUAGAUAUUAGGAGGAACACCAGUGGCGAAGGCGACUUUCUGGACAGUAACUGACGUUGAGGCACGAAAGUGUGGGGAGCAAACAGG